UUUUGCAGGACAUUUGGAAACACAAGCCAAGGGGAGUCAUUUGUACUAAAAUUAACAGAACAAUUCUUUGUGACAAAGAUUUCUUUACUUUGCGAGAUGGAAAAUAUAUAAACAACAAGAUAAUGGAGAGUCGUCUGGAACUGGUUACACAAAAGCACCGAAGUGAGGAUCAGUUAUUCAAUGCAAAUGUAUGUGUUGGUUGCUUCAAUCAAUUGGGAAGCCAUUGGGUUUUGAUCGGAAAGCAUAGGGCGUAAGAAAGAUACAUGCUCCCACGAAUGGGAAUUCAAUGUUCCAGCCAAAUAUCCCUAACAGCAAGAUGCCCAUUCUUGUGGAAUAUUUUGCAAAUUGUAUGCUGGUGUCAUUCUUGGGAGCAUGUUGUUUCCAAAAAGAGUCGAAACUUUGCGGUUAAGAAAACAUUAUGGUAGUCUGCUGAUUACAUUUUUAGCUUCAGUGCCAGAAAUGUAUGGAUCAGAAGCUAUUCCAUGCGUCCUGCUUUCCAGAGAUUGCAAAGAGCAAUGUCUCUCUUACUAUGUUUACUAUGGUCAGCGAUUGGAAAGGCAUGUCACUCAAGCACCAUCACCUGCACCAGCAUAACUAGUAGCACCAGCAGCACAACCAGUAGCACCAUCAGCAGUCCCAGCACCAUCAACAGCACUAGCACCAGCACUAGUCCCAGAAAUAAUUCCAGCAGCAAUACCAGCCCAAACAGCAGACCUCUGUCAUUCUUCAAUCCUGUUGUACAACAGCAGAGGAAUCUGAAUGACAAGCAACCUUGGCAUAAUCCUGCUGCCCCUUUUGUGAUGAAAGGCUCACAAAGAGGAUAACGAAAUGCCAGGGCUGCAGUGAACAAUCUACCGGGGAAUCCUCCGUUGUUGGUCAUAAAGAAGGCAGACAAAUCUUCAGAAAAGCAAUUGAGAAAAGAAAUGCUUGUGUUCAACAAUGGCAACUUCACGGGCAUAUUCAGUCGUCGCGAUUAUUUCAAGCCAGAAAAUCUUGUUGUGCCACCUGGGUUGAUAUUGGAGAGAGAUGAAAUUAAAUUCUUCAAUGAGAAGACAAGAUUCAAAAUCCUUUUAUUUUAAUUAGAAAAAUAAUUCAAAACCUUUGAAAAAUGAUUUCAAGUUAUAAAUAUUGCCGAAUAUCUAUCUACACAUCAUCGACCAGGAUGAACCAUCUACCGGGGAAUCCUCCAUUGUUGGUCAUAAAGAGGGCAGACAAAUCUUCAAUAAGAAAAUUGAGCAAAGAAAUGCUUAUGUACUACCAUGUCAACUUCAUGUGCAUAUUCAGUCGUCACAAUUAUUUCAAGCCAGAAAAUCUUGUUGUGCCACCUGGGUUGAUAUUGGAGAGAGAUGAAAUUAAAUUCUUCAAUGAGAAGACAGGAUUCAAAAUUCUCUUAUUUUAAUUAGAAAAAUAAUUCAAAACCUUUGAAAAAUGAUUUCAAGUUAUAAAUAUUGCCCAAUAUCUUUCUACACAUCAUCGACUGUGAAAUUCAUACAUCAUUGACAGAGCCAGUUAAGAUACUAAUAUUUUAACUAAAUAGAAAGUUGUUUAUGCCUGAACUGAAAUGUUCCAAGCAUUUAAAAUCUACGUUGUCAACAGAAACCUUUCUAUGUUUAUAGUAGAUGAUCACCAUAAAGAAUAUGAGUUAGAAAAAUGCAGUUGCUUCGAAAAAAUGCAAGUGAGAAGAUUGGCAGGGGGCAGGUACAAUUCUGUUUGGCCUAAUUUUGCCUGAACUGAAAUGUUCCAAGCAUUUAAAAUUAAAAAAUUAAACAAACCUUGGUGUAGUUUGAUGUAGAUUAUUUUCCAUACCUAGAACCAAACGACGUGGGAUUUAUACGAGCAACGCGCGGCGUUCGACCUGAUUCAAAGACAUACCAGUGGAGCCUGCCAGUCCUGAAAAUGAACACUAGAAAAAGGGGAAAAUACAUAAUUAUUUGGGUCGGGUGGGCGUAUAAAUCCCACGUCGUUUGGUUCUAGGUAUGGAAAA